CCUACGGGAGGCAGCAGUGAGGAAUAUUGGUCAAUGGACGAGAGUCUGAACCAGCCAAGUAGCGUGAAGGAUGACUGCCCUAUGGGUUGUAAACUUCUUUUAUAUGGGAAUAAAAUGUUCCACGUGUGGGAUUUUGUAUGUACCAUAUGAAUAAGGAUCGGCUAACUCCGUGCCAGCAGCCGCGGUAAUACGGAGUAGCCGAGCGUGAUCCGGAUUUAGUGGGUUUAAAGGGAGCGUAGGUGGAUUGUUAAGUCAGUUGUGAAAGUUUGCGGCUCAACCGUAAAAUUGCAGUUGAAACUGGCAGUCUUGAGUACAGUAGAGGUGGGCGGAAUUCGUGGUGUAGCGGUGAAAUGCUUAGAUAUCACGAAGAACUCCGAUUGCGAAGGCAGCUCACUGGACUGCAACUGACACUGAGGCUCGAAAGUGUGGGUAUCAAACAGGAUUAGAUACCCUUGUAGUC
rnacentral:rRNA from 1 species